rnacentral:rRNA from 1 species
AACGAACGCUGGCGGCAGGCCUAACACAUGCAAGUCGAGCGAACCCUUCGGGGUUAGCGGCGGACGGGUUAGUAACGCGUGGGAAUAUACCCUUUGGUACGGAAUAGCCUCGGGAAACUGAGAGUAAUACCGUAUGUGCCCUUCGGGGGAAAGAUUUAUCGCCAAAGGAUUAGCCCGCGUUGGAUUAGAUAGUUGGUGGGGUAAAGGCCUACCAAGGCGACGAUCCGUAGCUGGUCUGAGAGGAUGAUCAGCCACACUGGGACUGAGACACGGCCCAGACUCCUACGGGAGGCAGCAGUGGGGAAUUUUGGACAAUGGGCGAAAGCCUGAUCCAGCCAUGCCGCGUGAGUGAAGAAGGCCUGGUUGUAAGACUCUUUCUAGGUGGAAGAAAGACGGAGUAGGGCGUAAUA